rnacentral:rRNA from 1 species
GACGAACGCUGGCGGCGUGCCUAAUACAUGCAAGUAGAACGCACAGUUUAUACCGUAGCUUGCUACACCAUAGACUGUGAGUUGCGAACGGGUGAGUAACGCGUAGGUAACCUGCCUGGUAGCGGGGGAUAACUAUUGGAAACGAUAGCUAAUACCGCAUAAUAUUGAUUAUUGCAUGAUAAUUGAUUGAAAGAUGCUAUUGCAUCACUACCAGAUGGACCUGCGUUGUAUUAGCUAGUAGGUGAGGUAACGGCUCACCUAGGCGACGAUACAUAGCCGACCGGAGAGGAUGAUCAGCCACACUGAGACUGAGACACGGCCCAGACGCCUACGGGAGGCAGCAGUAGGGAAUCUUCGGCAAUGGACGAAAGUCUGACCGAGCAACGCCGCGUGAGUGAAGAAGGUUUUCGGAUCGUAAAGCUCUGUUGUAAGAGAAGAACGGGUGUGAGAGUGGAAAGUUCACACUGUGACGGUAUCUUACCAGAAAGGGACGGCUAACUACGUG